GAUGAAGAACGUAGCGAAAUGCGAUAAGUAGUGUGAAUUGCAGAAUUCAGUGAAUCAUCGAAUCUUUGAACGCACAUUGCGCCCCUUGGUAUCCCGAGGGGCAUGCCUGUUCGAGCGUCAUUUCACCACUCAAGCCUGGCUUGGUGUUGGGCGACGUCCUCUUUGGGGACGCGCCUCGAAACGCUCGGCGGCGUGGCACCGGCUUUAGGCGUAGCAGAAUCUUUCGCUUUGGAAGUCGGGGCCCCGUCUGCCGGAAGACCUGCUCGCAAGGUUGACCUCGGAUCAGGCAGGGAUACCCGCUGAACUUAAGCAUAUCAAUAAGCGGAGGA
rnacentral:misc_RNA from 1 species